UAUGGACCUGACUGGCCUACAUUAGUUGAAUGCUGUGGAUAAGGUCAGGGGCCUACUUUAGUUGAAUGCUGUGGAUAAGGUCAGGGGCCUACUUUAGUUGAAUGCUGUGGAUAAGGUCAGGGGCCUACUUUAGUUGAAUGCUGUGGAGAAGGUCAGGGGCCUACUUUAGUUGAAUGCUGUGGAGAAGGUCAGGGGCCUACUUUAGUUGAAUGCUGUGGAUAAGGUCAGGGGCCUACUUUAGUUGAAUGCUGUGGAUAAGGUCAGGGGCCUACUUUAGUUGAAUGCUGUGGAUAAGGUCAGGGGCCUACUUUAGUUGAAUGCUGUGGAUAAGGUCAGGGGCCUACUUUAGUUGAAUGCUGUGGAGAAGGUCAGGGGUCUACUUUAGUUGAAUGAUGUGGAUAAGGUCAGGGGCCUACUUUAGUUGAAUGAUGUGGAUAAGGUCAGGGGCCUACUUUAGUUGAAUCCUGUGGAUAAGAAGGUCAGUGGCCUACUUUAGUUGAAUCCUGUGGAUAAGAAGGUCAGGGGCCUACUUUAGUUGAAUCCUGUGGAUAAGAAGGUCAGUGGUCGACUUUAGUUGAAUGCUGUGGAGAAGGUCAGGGGCCUACUUUAGUUGAAUGCUGUGGAUAAGGUCAGUGGCCUACUUUAGUUGAAUGCUGUGGAUAAGGUCAGGGGCCUACUUUAGUUGAAUGCUGUGGAUAAGGUCAGGGGUCUACUUUAGUUGAAUGCUGUGGAGAAGGUCAGGGGUCUACUUUAGUUGAAUGCUGUGGAGAAGGUCAGGGGUCUACUUUAGUUGAAUGCUGUGGAGAAGGUCAGGGGUCUACUUUAGUUGAAUGCUGUGGAGAAGGUCAGGGGUCUACUUUAGUUGAAUGCUGUGGAGAAGGUCAGGGGUCUACUUUAGUUGAAUGCUGUGGAGAAGGUCAGGGGUCUACUUUAGUUGAAUGCUGUGGAGAAGGUCAGGGGUCUACUUUAGUUGAAUGCUGUGGAGAAGGUCAGGGGUCUACUUUAGUUGAAUGCUGUGGAGAAGGUCAGGGGUCUACUUUAGUUGAAUGCUGUGGAGAAGGUCAGGGGUCUACUUUAGUUGAAUGCUGUGGAGAAGGUCAGGGGUCUACUUUAGUUGAAUGCUGUGGAGAAGGUCAGGGGUCUACUUUAGUUGAAUGCUGUGGAGAAGGUCAGGGGUCUACUUUAGUUGAAUGCUGUGGAGAAGGUCAGGGGCCUACUUUAGUUGAAUGCUGUGGAGAAGAUCAGGGGCCUACUUUAGUUGAAUGCUGUGGAGAAGGUCAGGGGUCUAAAUGACUGUGUUUUAACC